ACAAGCGGAGGAACAUGUGGUUUAAUUCGAUGAUACGCGAGGAACCUUACCCGGGCUUGAAAUGCAUCUGGCGUCCCGAGAGAUCGGGAUUUCCCACGGGACAGAUGCGUAGGUGCUGCAUGGUUGUCGUCAGCUCGUGCCGUGAGGUGUCGGCUUAAGUGCCAUAACGAGCGCAACCCCUACCGUUAGUUGCCAUCAGGUCAAGCUGGGGACUCUAACGGGACUGCCAUCGUAAGGUGCGAGGAAGGUGGGGAUGACGUCAAAUCAGCACGGCCCUUACGUCCGGGGCGACACACGUGUUACAAUGGGUGGUACAAAGGGCAGCUACAUGGCGACAUGGUGCCAAUCUCCAAAACCACUCUCAGUUCGGAUCGGAGUCUGCAACUCGACUCCGUGAAGCUGGAUUCGCUAGUAAUCGCGCAUCAGCCACGGCGCGGUGAAUACGUUCCCGGGCCUU
rnacentral:rRNA from 1 species